UUUAAGGGCUGACUGCCCUGUGGGAAGGUUGUUUGGUUGGAGAUCCUUUCUUUGUGGAGUUUCCUUUCUGAGCCUGGAUCUUCAGGCACAGCCCUGCUUUUGAGGAGUGAUUUUUGAGAUCUCUGCAGUCUUGGUUGCCAUCUGGGUCUACAACCCCAACCCCACUGAUGUGCUUGGGAUGUUAUUUUCAGACGUCUCUCGGUUGCGUUUUAACCUUGGAAUUUACAGUGCUUCGUAAGUCAAUCCUAUGUUGACUGGAUUGAUAGAGACUGUAAAACAGCAUUGUUAUUUCAUGGUUGAUUGUUGACCAUGUUUACUAGUUGUAGCAGCUGUCACUGGACAGUGCGGAACUUUUCAGAUGUGACCUGGAAAAUGACUCAUUUUUUGGCAUGAGCAGAAAAGCUGAGUUACUGGGAUCAUUCACAGUGAUAUAGGUUGAACUUUGGGACUUCGGAAGCCAUCUUGGAAGAGGUUAAAUGAUGCCAUGAGAAAUUCUGGCCAGCAUACAGCCUUUCUAAAAGCUCUGCUUUCUUUAGCCACGAACUCAUUUGCUUUGUAGCUUUCUGUUCACCUUUAGUGUCUGAUUUCGUAGUCGGUGAAGUUCAGCAGCAGAACUCGGACCACAUCCUUUGUGCCACUCACACUUCAAAAGGACAUGAAAUAGCUUUCACAUCUCCACCUCCCUACUAAAAUCUCUCCUACCUUUUGGUUUCUUGCAUUAGAAGGGAAGGAAUGUGCCUGAAACAGUCAGUUUUUUUUCUUCUUUUCAUAUUGUUUGAUGCAUGAUGAGCUUGGCUAUCUGAUCUCAUUGUGUUACUGAAUAUGGCUUCAUUAGCCACAAAAAGUGCUAUCUACAAGGAAGAAAAUAUGCCCUCUGCUGACUUCGCAUGCGGCUAGAAUUUAAAAAGCUGCUGUCAGAGUACCACGAUGGAACUAUUGUUUGCAAAUAAAGCAAAUUAAAAUAAACAUCUUUUAUCAUAAGAAAGCAAUUAGUGUUGAUUCGCAGCUUUGCUUGGUUUUUCUUUCCUGACCUUGACUACAUCGUGAUGGUUUUGUGCUUCUUCGGACAGCUUCCACUGCAUCUGCAUCGAUUAAACCUUGAUCUCAUU